UACAGAGGGUGCGAGCGUUGUCCGGAAUCACUGGGCGUAAAGGGCGCGUAGGUGGCGACCCAAGUCGAUGGUGAAAGCUCGCCGCUCAACGGCGAGUCGGCCACUGAUACUGGGUUGCUGGAGCACUGUAGAGGCAGAUGGAAUUCCGGGUGUAGCGGUGGAAUGCGUAGAGAUUCGGAAGAACACCGGUGGCGAAGGCGGUCUGCUGGGCAGUUGCUGACACUGAGGCGCGACAGCGUGGGGAGCAACAGG
rnacentral:rRNA from 1 species